CAGUUCGGAUCGGAGCCUGCAACCCGACUCCGUGAAGCUGGAUUCGCUAGUAAUCGCGCAUCAGCCAUGGCGCGGUGAAUACGUUCCCGGGCCUUGUACACACCGCCCGUCAAGCCAUGGAAGCCGGGGGGCGCUUGAAGUGCGUUGCCGCAAGGCGCGCCCUAGGGCGAAACCGGUGACUGGGGCUAAGUCGUAACAAGGUACC
rnacentral:rRNA from 1 species